rnacentral:rRNA from 1 species
UACGUAGGCAGCGAGCGUUGUUCGGAGUUACUGGGCGUAAAGAGUGCGUAGGCGGUCCUGUAAGUUUGGUGUGAAAUCUCCCGGCUCAACUGGGAGGGUGCGCCGAAGACUGCAGGGCUUGAGUAUGGGAGAGGUAAGCGGAAUUCCUGGUGUAGCGGUGAAAUGCGUAGAUAUCAGGAGGAACACCUGUGGUGUAGACAGCUUACUGGACCAUAACUGACGCUGAGGCACGAAAGCGUGGGUAGCAAACAGG